GGGAACAUGCAAAGCACAUAUAGAAACAUGAGAUAGAAAAAAUUAAAAAAAUUCGGAACAUACUAUAAAGAUCAAGUUUAGCUUGCUAUGCAUACUAAUGAAUUUUCCAAAUGGUCUUUCAGCUUACAUUAGCUGCUCAAUUUUUGUUGUGUGCUUACAUGAAAUGUAUAGUGGAUUAGCUUCCUUCUAUACACAACUAGCUGAAAAGUAUCUUAGGGAUUUCUCAUAAUCUUCAAAUAUGUUGGUUUCUUUUUCAAGUGAACAUUUUAGCCAUUUUUAAAGAUAAACAUUACUAUUAUGAUAGAACAUUUCAUUUAACUUCUUCAAU
rnacentral:lncRNA from 1 species